rnacentral:misc_RNA from 1 species
GAUGAAGAACGCAGCGAAAUGCGAUAAGUAAUGCGAAUUGCAGAAUUCAGUGAAUCAUCGAAUCUUUGAACGCACAUUGCGCCCGCCAGUAUUCUGGCGGGCAUGCCUGUCUGAGCGUCAGUUCAACCCUCGAACCCCUCCGGGGGGUCGGCGUUGGGGAUCGGCCCUUUACGGGGCCGGCCCCGAAAUACAGUGGCGGUCUCGCCGCAGCCUCUCCUGCGCAGUAGUUUGCACACUCGCAUCGGGAGCGCGGCGCGUCCACAGCCGUUAAACACCCCAAACUUCUGAAAUGUUGACCUCGGAUCAGGUAGGAAUACCCGCUGAACUUAAGCAUAUAAUAAGCGGAGGA